UACGGAGGGGGCUAGCGUUGUUCGGAAUUACUGGGCGUAAAGCGCGCGUAGGCGGACCUGCAAGUCGGGGGUGAAAGCCCGAGGCUCAACCUCGGAACUGCCUUCGAUACUGCGGGUCUCGAGUCCGAGAGAGGUGAGUGGAAUUCCUAGUGUAGAGGUGAAAUUCGUAGAUAUUAGGAAGAACACCAGUGGCGAAGGCGGCUCACUGGCUCGGUACUGACGCUGAGGCGCGAAAGCGUGGGGAGCAAACAGG
rnacentral:rRNA from 1 species